rnacentral:lncRNA from 1 species
AACUAGCAUAUCGAUUUUUACUGAGCAGCCAUUCUCGGAUGCAGUUAACCAAGAUAUGAAACAGACAAAUUCAGAGAGGUUGGUAUGGACUACGGAGGAUUGCCACAAAACAAAUAAAACUAAUGUACAAUUUUACUUCAAAAGUAACGGCAACAUAUCAGGUUACUAAGAUAACCAAAACUCAGUAGACCACUGAACACAAACACAUGGUGGCUAAUUGGCCAUGGCUGCACUUGGCCGAUGUACAUGCCACCAUGCUCCUCAAAACACACACACGCAGACUCUGCUACAAUUUCUAAAUCCAAGGUCCCCAGACAGUAUCACGGCUAGCAGUAACACCAUAUUACAGUCCUUGAUCAAAAGCCGAAGAAACCAAGCUCGGUCGCCCUUUCCUUCUCGAACGUCUCGAAGUAUUGGUAUAUGAUGGUGACAGCGAGCAGUAUACCGGUUCCUGAACCAAUUGCACCCAUGAAAUCAGCCAGGACAGUCAGCGCGCCAAUGCACACUCCUCCAAAUGCAGCAGCAGUGGGGAUGUAUCUGUUCAACUCCCUCUCCAAGUUUGACUCGCGAUGGCCUGGCAUCACCAUUUGUUGUUCCUGUUCAGUUGCCAAAGUUAGAAGAUUUCGGGUAGCUCUUGCGUAGUGACUAUUCAUGUGCAAAACCAACUAUAAGCAGUAGAUCAGUGCACAUAACAGUUUUAGUUAACUAAGACUCUAGCUACAAAUGGUACUCCCUCCGAUCCAUAUUACUAAACGAUCCAUAUUACUUUAGUGAUCUAUAAACGUUCUUAUAUUUCUUUGAGGAGGAAGUACUUGUCUUAGAUUGGUCUAGAUACGGAUGUAUCUAACACUAGUAAUAUGGAUCGGAGGGAGUAGAUAAUAUAUACUCCCUCCAUUCCUAAAUAUUUGUCUUUCCACAGAUUUCAACAAGUGACUACAUACGGAGCAAAAUGAGUGAAUCUACACUCUAAAAUAUGUCUUAUAUACAUCCGUAUGUGGUAGUCCAUUUGAAAUAUCUAAAAAGACAAAUAUUUAGGAACGGAGGGAGUAGAUGCCCCUAGCAUAUGACUGAAGCUUCUAAGCUCAGAAGGCAAAUAACAAUGGUAACAGAUAUUGUACCAAAAUACUAGAUACACAAACUAAUGGCAUUGUAAGCUAAUGUUCCUCAGAAAUAUUCUUGCAAACAAAGUCCCUUGAAGACUAAUGGUAGUGGUGCAGCGAUCUAUCUAAAAAAUCAGCUGUAGAUUCUUCAUUUGCUGUACUUCAAAUGUAUCGUAUGAUAAAGCUAGAUGGUGCUCCUACCAAACAACAUGUUACUGUUCAGACUUCAGAACAAUACAGUGUAAUACAGUACCAUAUAUGAUACUCCCUCUGUCCGAAAAAGCUUGUCCCAAUCUUGUCUCUCAAAUAGAUGUAUCUAUCACUAAUUUGAUGCUAGAUACAUCAAUUUGAGGGACAAGUUUUUUUGGACGUAGGGAGUAAUAUUUGCUGACACAAUCUUACAAAAACAAUAAAUGACAGAUACAGAUCCUGCAUCAUAGAGGACUAAAAGCCAGCCUUGUGUAUGUAAUUUCUUGUGGCAUCCUAUGGCACAAUGGCAUCAAUCAGUGACAUUUUGAAUAAACUGUACUCCUCCGUUUCUAAAUAUAAGACCUUUUAGAGAUUUCAAUACGGACUACAUACGGAUGUAUAUAGACACAUUUUAUAGUGUAGAUUCACUCAUUUUGCUCCUUAUGUAGUCUAUAUCGAAAUCUCUAAAAGGUCUUAUAUUUAGAAACGGAGGGAGUACAAACUACAAUUUACAAUGGAACAGAGCCAGUAAAAGUAAGAAGUAGAUGAAAGAACUUCACUUCCACCUGUUUAACGGGUAGGACAUAUGCCAAAACAUAAUUAAAACUAUAUGCAACUAGAAUUAGCAACUAUAUGCUAUAUGUACAAAGUGCAUUUACCUUGAGCUGCCUAGCAACAUCCCUCGCUGAUGAACCAGAAACUUCAAUCCACGUCUUUGAGAAGAGAGCGCAAGCUGACAGCAUGAAGACCACAUAGAACAGCGCAUGGAAUGGAUUUGCGACAACAUCAGCCAAACU